UAAGAAACAUAAGCUUAACCUCAGAGAUAUA
rnacentral:piRNA from 1 species